ensembl:snRNA U6 U6 spliceosomal RNA
GGGCUCCCUUCCCAGCACAUAGACUCAAAUUAGAAUGAUACCGAGAAGAUUAGCAUGGCCACUGCACAAGAACGGCAAGCAAAUUUGUGACACAGUCCAUAUUUGU